ACGGCUCAGUAACACGUGGACAACCUACCCUUUGGUCUGGCAUAAUCCUGGGAAACUGGGGAUAAUUCCGGAUAGGUCACAGAUGCUGGAAUGCACUGUGGCUCAAAGCUCCGGCGCCAAAGGAUGGGUCUGCGGCCUAUCAGGGUUGUAGUGGGUGUAAUGUACCUACUAGCCUACGACGGGUACGGGUUGUGAGAGCAAGAGCCCGGAGAUGGAUUCUGAGACACGAAUCCAGGCCCUACGGGGUGCAGCAGGCGCGAAAACUUUACAAUGCGGGAAACCGUGAUAAGGGAAUCUCGAGUGCCAGCAUAUAAUGUUGGCUGUCUGGAUGCCUAAAAAGCAUCUGUUAGCAAGGGCCGGGCAAGACCGGUGCCAGCCGCCGCGGUAACACCGGCGGCCCGAGUGGUAACCGCUUUUAUUGGGUCUAAAGGGUCUGUAGCCGGCCAAGUAAGUCCCUUGGGAAAUCUGGCAGCUCAACUGUCAGGCUGCUAGGGGAUACUGUUUGGCUUGGGACCGGGAGAGGUGAGAGGUACCUUGGGGGUAGGGGUGAAAUCUUGUGAUCCUCGAGGGACCACCAGUGGCGAAGGCGUCUCACCAGAACGGGUCCGACGGUAAGGGACGAAAGCUAGGGGCACGAACCGGAUUAGAUACCCGGGUAGUCCUAGCCGUAAACGAUGCUCGCUAGGUGUCAGUCACGGUGCGACCGUGAUUGGUGCCGUAGGGAAGCCGUGAAGCGAGCCACCUGGGAAGUAUGGCCGCAAGGCUGAGGCUUAAAGGAAUUGGCGGAAAAGCAC
rnacentral:rRNA from 1 species